GAAAAUUCUUGAUUCUCAUCUAUUAUAAUAGUUUGAAGUACCUUAGAAUAACUCAUGACUACUAUCAUCAAUUUAUUAAAAACAAAAAUGGAGACAACGUAAUUCUAUUAGAUAAUGCAGUAUUUAUCAAGAGUGUAAACCAAAUUUGUCUGCCCUAUCCUAUCCUCUUAUAGCCGAUAGCUAUUCCUCCCACACCUUGGUCUGAAAUAGCAAUUGACUUCAUCAAAGACCUCACAAAGCCAACUGAAAAAAAAAAUUCUAUAUGGGUAGUGGUUGACCAGUUAAUGAAAUACACAAAUUUCACAGCUCUUACUAUCAUUAUUUGGUCUAUAUGAUCCCAAAAACUCUCUGACACUCCAUUGCUUACCAUCCUCAACUAGAUGGCCAAACAGAAGUCAUUAAUAGGCGCCUGGAGACAUGGAUGUAUAUGUCAUGGACAGCCAGCAACAGUUCCGACUGAUUCUAACAUCACUACUCUGAACUUCUUACACGAAGGAGAAUCCAUCAUGCAAAUACUCAAAUUUCAUUUGUCCAUAGGUGUCCAACAUCUUCCCAAGAGAUGAACUAGUUGACUUCCUCCUUAAGCCACAGGCAGGUCAAUGCUUUCAAGAUAUGAUUUCCCAGAUGGGUGUGUGCAUUGAACACCUUAUGAAAGCGUACAAUAUCAUCAUCGCCCCCAACAGAGUGGUGGAAGAGAAUGGGUCUGAAGUUCCUGCUGUGAGGCUCUCAAGUCGAUCUGGAAACCUAAAUUCAAUCCAAUUCCACGUGACUGCUGCAGGGUUUGAGCAAACAACUGGUAUUUGCGGAUGUCUGGAUCACUAACCCUUCAACGACCAUAUUUCAUGGAUUCCUCCAAGUGUGCAGCUUUUAUCUCUGCCACAUCAUCCUCAUCUUCCUCCAUUGCCUCAGGGUUCUCUCUCUUCUUCCUUUCCCUCUCAAUAUCCUGUAAUAUCCAUUGAAUCCAAUAAGUCACGAAACAUAUACUAUUAUGAAAGUGGAGAGGCUAUAAGUUGUGUAAAUUAACAUAUAUACUGUGAGAUUGUCGGGCAAAACAUCUACACAUGUCCAAUUUCAACAAAAUUUUUGUGUAAA